rnacentral:rRNA from 1 species
GACGAACGCUGGCGGCGUGCUUAACACAUGCAAGUCGAACGGAAAGGCCCUGCUUGCAGGGUACUCGAGUGGCGAACGGGUGAGUAACACGGGGGUGAUCUGCCCUGCACUUCGGGAUAAGCCUGGGAAACUGGGUCUAAUACCGGAUAGGAGCCAUUUUUAGUGUGAUGGUUGGAAAGUUUUUUCGGUGUAGGAUGAGCUCGCGGCCUAUCAGCUUGUUGGUGGGGUAAUGGCCUACCAAGGCGGCGACGGGUAGCCGGCCUGAGAGGGUGGACGGCCACAUUGGGACUGAGAUACGGCCCAGACGCCGACGGGAGGCAGCAGUGGGGAAUAUUGCACAAUGGGCGCAAGCCUGAUGCAGCGACGCCGCGUGGGGGAUGACGGCCUUCGGGUUGGAAACUCCUUUCGCUAGGGACGAAGCUUUUUGUGACGGUACCUAGAUAAGAAGCACCGGCUAACUACGUG